GCCUGUUUGUCCUCACCCUGUCAGGACUGAAGGGAAGGAGAAAGCAGGCGCCCCCUUUCCCAGUCUAAUAUUACACAAUUGAUCAUACAGAAUGGAGUCCCUUGCCAAGCUAGAUGGAAUGCUGGUUUUUUGGUUGCCCUGGUUGAGCCACAGCUGAUUGCUCACUACAGAUCCUUCACUUUAUUCCAAGAGUUUGUUUCUUCAGCUACUCUGAGGCUUCGAGUAAAGAAGAAAUGGAGUAGGAUGGUCCAGAUUUCAGGACCACCACCUGGUCCACAUACCUGCUACACAGACAAUUUGCAAGAAGAGAUAACUAAAGGAGUGAGGAUUCCCAGAAGAGGAGUGAAAUCAACGGCAUGGAAAACACGAGCAGAUAGAUGGGUUUACCUUAAUCAGGGAAAGGAGAAACCUCUUUCUUGUUAUUUCCAAGAUAGGAGUAACAGAUGUAAGACAUGAAGAUAACUUCAUAUAUAUAUAUAUAUAUAUAUACAAAACUUACAUCCUAUAUAUGAAGAUAACUUCAUAUAUAUAAAUUAUAUAAAUAUGAAGAUAACUUUAUAGCUAGGGGAGGGAUAUACAGAAAGUCCAAAGAUUCUGGAAA
rnacentral:lncRNA from 1 species